CAAUCUAGGUUCAUUCGUCUGAUAUACCAUCACUUCUCGUUCUCAUUGCCGGAUCAUACGUAUUCGCUGUUUUUAGCACUUGCAACAGCAAAAAAUCAUCUUGGGCAGGAUGACGUACGCGCAUUUAAUAUUCUCCUUCGACAAGCUUGGAAUGAUUUACUGAUGGACCAGAUUGCAGUAGUUGGUCAAAAUUGGCCUGAUCAAGCCGAACAAAAUCCGAUCUUUUAUGAAAUUAUGUGGUGGCAGAGCAGGCAGGCAGGGGUGGUACCUCCAAGGAGAGGAUAUACAGGUACACCUGAGUCAUUAUACAAUUUUGGAAGAAACAACAGAGUUCAUGCACCUGGAAAAAAAAGGGGCCAAGGGGAGCUCUGCUAGGGGAGAUUCAGCAAGUGCCACCCCAUGGUGCAAGGCGUUGGCGAUGGAUGAUCAUUACUCCUGAGGGGGAAUGGGGCUGGGCGUGGCAGCCUGCUCAAGGGCAGUGGUUCUGGCCGACGGUUCUAGGUGAUACCCAGUGGCGAAUGACCAAGUGGCCAAAUGUUGCACCAGUGCUGCCUCUACUACCAUUAUCUGCCCAGGACCAGAAAAUGGAUAAUCCAGAGAAUGUGGGCCAUAUGGUAGGGAAGGAGUUUGGGAUGUUCUUUGCUCAUGCCACGGCCUUUGUCCUCCUAUUCUUACAGUGUGGAACUCCAGAGUAUAUUGAUCAGCCUCAUCAGAGAUACGAAGAGGCAAUGGAUAGUUAACUGCAGAGUCAUGCUAUUUUCUCCCAUUGCCGAGGCACAGCUGAGAGGAGUUUCGAUGUUCCAAUGCUGGCAAGAUUUAAGUUGAAGGCUGCGGCUACGAGCUUGUGGGCUGAUUCGCAAUGCGUUCCAGUUUGAUCAAAUUCUCCAAAAGUUGCACUGAUGAGCCAAUGCAUUGCUGAGUGAAUCUUUUUGUAAUUUUCUGUUGCUUAGGUCUACUUACUGAAUCAGUGAAUCUUAUUGAUUCAUGUUGCUCAUGACUUCCUUGUAAAAAAUUAACAUACUAUAGCAUCUUACCGGAUCUUUUUUUAUCAA